rnacentral:tRNA from 1 species
GUCACGAUAGCUCAAGUGGUAGAGCAGCGGCGUUCCUAGCCGAAGAUCGUGGGUUCGAAUCCCACUCGUGCCA